rnacentral:rRNA from 1 species
CGCGUAGGUGGUAGUGCAAGUCUGAGGUGGAAUCCCAGGGCUUAACCCUGGAACUGCCUUGGAAACUGCAUUACUUGAGUCAGUGAGGGGAGGGUAGAAUUCCUGGUGUAGCGGUGAAAUGCGUAGAUAUCAGGAGGAAGGCCGGUGGCGAAGGCGGCCCUCUGGCGCUGAACUGACACUGAGGCGCGAAAGCGUGGGGAGCAAACAGGAUUAGAUACCCUGGUAGUCCACGCCCUAAACGGUGGGCACUAGGUGUAGGGCUCGUAAGGGUUCUGUGCCGAAGGGAAACCAUUAAGUGCCCCGCCUGGGGAGUACGGCCGCAAGGUUGAA